rnacentral:rRNA from 1 species
CCUACGGGCGGCAGCAGUGGGGAAUAUUGCGCAAUGGGGGAAACCCUGACGCAGCAACGCCGCGUGAAUGAAGAAGUCCUUCGGUUUGUAAACUUCUUUCAGCAGGGAAGAGCAGAAGACUGUACCUGUCGAAAAAGCCACGGCUAACUACGUGCCAGCAGCCGCGGUAAUACGGAGGGGGCAAGCGUUCUCCGGAUUUAGGGGGUGUAAAGGGCGUGUAGCCGGGCUGACAAGUCAGAUGUGAAAGCCGGGGGCUCAACCCCCGGACUGCAUUUGAAACUGGUGGUCUGGAGUGUCGGAGAGGCAAGCGGAAUUCCUAGUGUAGCGGUGAAAUGCGUAGAUAUUAGGAGGAACACCAGUGGCGAAGGCGGCCUGCUGGACGAUAACUGACGGUGAGGCGCGAAAGCGUGGGGAGCAAACAGGAUUAGAUACCCGUGUAGUC